rnacentral:tRNA from 1 species
UCUCGAUUGGUCUAGUGGUCAGGAUACCUGCUUGUCAUCUUCAAAUCGACAGUUGCGCAGGUGGCCGGGGUUCGAUUCCCCGAUCGAGAG